rnacentral:lncRNA from 1 species
GCGUGAACUCCUUCAGCUGUCUGUGUCGUCCUGGCUACACAGGCACACAUUGCCAAUAUAAGGUUGACCCCUGCUUCUCCCGGCCCUGUCUACAUGGGGGCAUCUGCAACCCCACCCACUCAGGAUUUGAAUGCACCUGCCGGGAGGGCUUCACUGGGAAUCAGUGUCAGAACCCAGUGGACUGGUGCAGCCAGGCACCCUGUCAGAAUGGGGGUCGCUGUGUCCAGACUGGGGCUUACUGCAUCUGUCCGCCUGAAUGGAGUGGCCCCCUGUGCGACAUACCAAGCCUACCCUGCACGGAGGCUGCAGCCCACAUGGGGGUGCGGUUGGAGCAGCUGUGUCAGGCGGGUGGCCAGUGCAUAGACAAGGACCACUCCCACUACUGUGUGUGUCCGGAGGGCCGUAUGGGUAGUCACUGCGAACAGGAGGUGGAUCCCUGCACAGCCCAGCCUUGCCAGCAUGGGGGCACCUGCCGUGGUUACAUGGGCGGCUAUGUGUGUGAGUGUCCAGCCGGCUACUCUGGUGACAGUUGUGAGGAUGAUGUGGAUGAGUGCGCUUCCCAGCCCUGCCAGAAUGGAGGCUCCUGUAUUGAUCUUGUGGCCCACUAUCUCUGCUCCUGUCCC